rnacentral:rRNA from 1 species
UACGGAGGAUGCGAGCGCUAUCCGGAUUUAUUGGGUUUAAAGGGUGCGUAGGCGGAGUGCCAAGUCAGCGGUAAAAAUUCGGGGCUCAACCCCGUCGUGCCGUUGAAACUGGCGCUCUUGAGUGGGCGAGAAGUAUGCGGAAUGCGUGGUGUAGCGGUGAAAUGCAUAGAUAUCACGCAGAACCCCGAUUGCGAAGGCAGCAUACCGGCGCCCGACUGACGCUGAAGCACGAAAGCGUGGGUAUCGAACAGG